CCUGGUGAUCACUUUUGCAGUGUGAGCUGGGGGUGGCCGCAGAGACCAGCGAGAAGCGACUGUUUACUAAAAACACAGGUCCGUGCGAAGCCGUAAGGCGAUGUAUACGGACUGACGCCUGCCCGGUGCUGGAACGUUAAGGGGACCGGUUAGCUGACUUUCGGGUUGGCGAAGCUGAGAACUUAAGCGCCAGUAAACGGCGGUGGUAACUAUAACCAUCCUAAGGUAGCGAAAUUCCUUGUCGGGUAAGUUCCGACCUGCACGAAUGGCGUAACGACUUCUCGACUGUCUCAACCAUAGGCCCGGUGAAAUUGCAUUACGAGUAAAGAUGCUCGUUUCGCGCAGCAGGACGGAAAGACCCCGGGACCUUUACUACAGUUUGAUAUUGGUGUUCGGUUCGGCUUGUGUAGGAUAGGUGGGAGACUGUGAAGCGGCCACGCCAGUGGUUGUGGAGUCGUUGUUGAAAUACCACUCUGGUCGUGCUGGAUGUCUAACCCGGGUCCGUGAUCCGGAUCGGGGACAGUGUCUGAUGGGUAGUUUAACUGGGGCGGUUGCCUCCUAAAGAGUAACGGAGGCGCCCAAAGGUUCCCUCAGCCUGGUUGGUAAUCAGGUGGUGAGUGUAAGUGCACAAGGGAGCUUGACUGUGAGACCGACGGGUCGAGCAGGGACGAAAGUCGGGACUAGUGAUCCGGCGGUGGCUUGUGGAAGCGCCGUCGCUCAACGGAUAAAAGGUACCCCGGGGAUAACAGGCUGAUCUUCCCCAAGAGUCCAUAUCGACGGGAUGGUUUGGCACCUCGAUGUCGGCUCGUCGCAUCCUGGGGCUGGAGUCGGUCCCAAGGGUUGGGCUGUUCGCCCAUUAAAGCGGUACGCGAGCUGGGUUUAGAACGUCGUGAGACAGUUCGGUCCCUAUCCGCUGUGCGCGUAGGAAUAUUGAGAAGGGCUGUCCCUAGUACGAGAGGACCGGGACGGACGAACCUCUGGUGUGCCAGUUGUUCUGCCAAGGGCAUGGCUGGUUGGCUACGUUCGGGAGGGAUAACCGCUGAAAGCAUCUAAGCGGGAAGCCUGCUUCGAGAUGAGUAUUCCCACCUCCUUGAGAGGGUAAGGCUCCCAGUAGACGACUGGGUUGAUAGGCCGGAUAUGGAAGCCCUGUAAGGGGUGGAGUUGACCGGUACUAAUAGGCCGAGGGCUUGUCCUC
rnacentral:rRNA from 1 species